AAUCAACGCUGGCGGCGUGCCUCAGACAUGCAAGUCGAACGAUUAAAGCUCUCUUCGGAGAGUGUAUAGAGUGGCGCACGGGUGAGUAACACGUAAGUAAUCUACCCUCGAGUGGGGAAUAACAACCGGAAACGGUUGCUAAUACCGCAUAAUGCAGCGGCACCGCAAGGUGACAGUUGUUAAAGAUUUAUCGCUUGAGGAGGAGCUUGCGGCAGAUUAGCUAGUUGGUAGGGUAACGGCUUACCAAGGCUACGAUCUGUAACCGGUCUAAGAGGACGGUCGGUCACACUGACACUGAAUAACGGGUCAGACUCCUACGGGAGGCAGCAGUCGGGAAUUUUGGGCAAUGGGCGAAAGCCUGACCCAGCAACGCCGCGUGAAGGAUGAAGUAUUUCGGUAUGUAAACUUCGAAAGUAANAGGAAGAAUUAAUGACGGUACUAUUUAUAAGGUCCGGCUAACUACGUG
rnacentral:rRNA from 1 species